rnacentral:piRNA from 1 species
UGCGAUCAGACAUGCUGGAUGUAGAU